CUAACAAGUUUGAUGGCGAAAAUGAACGGCGGAUCUCACCCCAGUGGAAGAAGGCAAUAUUUAGCUAAUUUUGCCCCCAACCAUUCUUCGUCCCAUUACCGCGGUGGCAGAGAAUCCCACUCGCUGUCGUCGUCUCGUGCGCGGAGGAUGGCAGAGCGGCUUCCUUCCGCAAAAGAGGCAUCGCAAUCAAGAGUAGAGAUUCUGAACAAAUACGGAGAAAAGCUUGUUGGGGUGCUACACGAUGCUGGAUCCAAGAAGCUUGUGAUUUUGUGCCAUGGAUUUCGGUCUUCGAAGGAUGAGAGUAUCUUUCUUAACCUUACUUCUGCAUUGACAAGUCAAGGGAUCAGUGUGUUUCGCUUUGAUUUUGCCGGAAAUGGGGAAAGUGAUGGUAUCUUCCGAUAUGGCAACUACCGGAGGGAGGCCGAAGACUUGCGUUCUGUGAUCUUAUAUUUUUCGGAGCAAAAGUAUGAAAUAAGUGCUAUUCUUGGGCACAGUAAAGGGGGUAAUGUGGUGCUCUUAUAUGCUUCUGUGUAUCAUGAUGUCCAUACAGUCAUAAAUCUUUCUGGUCGCUUUGCCUUGGAUAGAGGAAUUGAAGGUCGCUUAGGGAGAGACUUUAUGCAAAGAAUCGAGAAAGAUGGUUUUAUUGAUGUGAAAGAUAGGACAGGAAAAGUUGAGUAUCGGGUUACUGAAGAAAGUCUAAAAGAUAGACUAGACACUGAUAUGCAUGCAGCAUGCCAUUCCAUUGACAAAGAAUGCAGAGUCUUGACUAUUCAUGGUUCAAAAGACGAAAUUGUUCCGUCGGAAGAUGCAAUGGAGUUUGCGAAGCUCAUUCCUAAUCACAAGCUAUAUAUUAUGGAAGGUGCCAACCAUUCUUAUGCUGCACAUCAGGGAGGACUGGCUUCAGUUGUUCUGGACUUCCUAAAAUCCAAUCAGGUGGAAGACGCUGACACAAUGAGAAGUAUAUAAAUUUCUGUUGGAUUUGUGCAAGAGAUUAAUCCGCCAUGAUAAUGUUUGGUAUUUAAUUUUAGUUUCCAGCAUGUUGCUAUUGGCUUUAGCUGAGCUCGGAUCCUGCUACUGCUUUGGGUUGGUCAGCCAACCUUCUUUUAGCAAAGAGAGAAGAGUGAUAACGAUGGAUGUCGUCAUCGUAUUGGUGGCAUCAACCAGGGAGGGAGUUGCCUGUCGGCCUCAGAAUAGCAGGGUUGCAGUUCGCUCACGUCUCGGACAUGGAAUGGAGAAAGAAAGUUAAGGAACGCAGCGAGCGGAAACGUACACGGUCCUCUUUAUUCCGAUCAUCCCGUCUCCUUCCCCACGUAAUGUGAUGCUUACCGGACAAUAUUGAAGGGAAGAGAGGCAGAUCGGUUUGUGUCUAUUGCAGCUUCCAACUUCAUGGCAGGGGCUGCGGCAGGCUGCACAACUUUGGUCAUCAUCUACCCACUGGACAUAGCCCAUACCCGGCUU